CAAUAGCGUAUAUUAAAGUUGUUGCAGUUAAAAAGCUCGUAGUUGAAUUUUUGCUUGCCGCCGAUGUCGGAACUUCCGUACGUUCGGCGGCGUGCAUCCUUGGGUGGAACCUGUGUGGCAUUAGGUUGUCGUGCAGGGGAUGCUCAUCGUUUACUGUGAAAAAAUUAGAGCGUUCAAAGCAGGCUUACGCCGUUGAAUAUAUUAGCAUGGAAUAAUAAGAUAGGACCUUGGUACUAUUUUGUUGGUUUGCGCACCGAGGUAAUGAUUAACAGGGACAGUUGGGGGUAUUCGUAUUCCAUUGUCAGAGGUGAAAUUCUUGGAUUUCUGGAAGACGAACUACUGCGAAAGCAUUUACCAAGGAUGUUUUCAUUAA
rnacentral:rRNA from 1 species